AUACGGUCUCCUGCCAGGUCCUGGGGGAGUAGGAGCCAGUGCAAGGAGAGAAGCCCAGUGAAAAAGGCAAAGGGACGGUGUCAGACCCAGGGGCUAAGACCCCCACCUGCAGCUGGGUAACUUCUGGAGUGGACAGGGAGCAGCAGGGAAGGUCGUGGCCUGGUGUUCUGGGGUUCACUGUCUCAUCUCAUUCCUGUGGUUGCCAGAACUUGUCCAAAGGGAAGACUCAGUGUCUCUAGCAACAGCAGGCCAGAGACAGGAAGUGUCCCAGAGAAGCAGGAAGAAUUGUACACCACGGACACGGUAUAUGGUUUUAUAGUAGUGCCUCUCUCUCUCUCACUCAACUAGUUGGCGUGUUCCUGUUACUGGAAAAUAUCAGUGGUGAGAGGAAGAAAAUAACAGGGAUCUUCAUGGAGAAAUGACCCACUUAAGGGUCUGGACUCUCCAGCAGUUACAAGCAGAAGAAACUCCCUGAGGAAGAAUGGAGGAGCUGAAUGCCCAGACUGGGAAGUUUUCUGAAAGGCAGCAAGCCUGAGCUGAGUCCACACCCUGAAAGCCCAGAAGCAAGGGAUCAGAUGGAAGAAAUAAAGCAGGUUUUGGAAAAGAGAAUAACCUGCAAAGACAAGUCAAUGCUAGAACAGAAGCCUGCACUAUCUGGAGCACCGAGGCUGUCUCAAGCUAACUGA
rnacentral:lncRNA from 1 species